rnacentral:lncRNA from 1 species
AAGGUUCAGACCCCUUACCUCUUUGGAUUGAAGGAAGCUCUGAGCAAUCUUUGGCCUUUUCCUCUUCCUUCUCUUUCUCUUCAGCGUUUCUCCCCCCUUUCUCUGACUCUGAGGCAAAACACGUGAAACAACCUGAGUCCUCACUUUGGCCUCUUUUAUCCAAUUUCCACUUUUACCCUUCCACUCUUCAUAUUCCAUUUAUUUUAUUUAUUUAAUUAUUAUUAAAAUAAAUAACAUCUAUAGUAAUAAUAAAAAUAAUCCAAUAAUUCAA